UGGGGAAUAUUGGACAAUGGGGGGAACCCUGAUCCAGCCAUGCCGCGUGUGUGAAGAAGGCCUUUUGGUUGUAAAGCACUUUAAGCGAGGAGGAGGCUACCGAGAUUAAUACUCUUGGAUAGUGGACGUUACUCGCAGAAUAAGCACCGGCUAACUCUGUGCCAGCAGCCGCGGUAAUACAGAGGGUGCAAGCGUUAAUCGGAUUUACUGGGCGUAAAGCGCGCGUAGGUGGCCAAUUAAGUCAAAUGUGAAAUCCCCGGGCUUAACUUGGGAAUUGCAUUCGAUACUGGUUGGCUAGAGUAUGGGAGAGGAUGGUAGAAUUCCAGGUGUAGCGGUGAAAUGCGUAGAGAUCUGGAGGAAUACCGAUGGCGAAGGCAGCCAUCUGGCCUAAUACUGACACUGAGGUGCGAAAGCAUGGGGAGCAAACAGG
rnacentral:rRNA from 1 species